GAUGAACGCUGGCGGCGUGCCUAAUACAUGCAAGUCGAGCGAACAGACGAGGAGCUUGCUCCUCUGACGUUAGCCGCGGACGGGUGAGUAACACGUGGAUAACCUACCUAUAAGACUGGUAUAACUUCGGGAAACCGGAGCUAAUACCGGAUAAUAUAUUGAACCGCAUGGUUCAAUAGUGAAAUACGGUUUUGCUGUCACUUAUAGAUGGAUCCGCGCCGCAUUAGCUAGUUGGUAAGGUAACGGCUUACCAAGGCGACGAGGCGUAGCCGACCUGAGAGGGUGAUAGGCGACCUGGGAACUGAGCCACGGUCAAGACUACUAGGGGAGGCAGCAGUAGGGAAUCUUACGCAAUGGGCGAAAGUCUGACGGAGCAACGCGGAGCGAGUGAUGAAGGUCUUCGGAUCGGAAUACUCUGUUACUAGGGAAGAACAAAUGUGUCAGUAACUAUGCACGGAUUGACGGUAACUGAUCAGAAAGCCACGGCUAACUACGUG
rnacentral:rRNA from 1 species